UUAUUUACUUUUAAAAUAAUAAUUAUUAUAGUUUUUUUUUUUUUUUAAAAUCCCAAUUCAAGAGGGUGAGCUCCCUUCUCUCUCAAAUCCGUCUGUCUCAAAACUCCCUCUCUCAAAUUUGUUUCUUCCCUCUCUCAAAUUCGAGCUUCUCUCAAAUCCGCCGUCGGCUCUUUCAUUCCAAGAAAAGGAACUUGGGAGAUCAAUAACUCAGGCCGAGGCAUUCAAAGCUACACACACAAGGAAGAAGAAAAUCCAUGGAGAUCCUGAUGUUUGGGUUGAGCCACGAGCUCAGCUCAGCUGACCUAUAAUCGAUAUUUGCCAUUCAUAGAGGAUUUUCGCCAAAUUCUGCUAGAAGAUAGUCGGGACCUACCACUUAGUCAAAGAGCAGAAUGAGAGAAUAUGGUUAGAUGCGGUGGGUGGCCUGAGUAGGUAUGGAUAUGCUUAUGAAUUGCCCCAACAAACGUUUCGUGAAUUUCAUUUGGAACUAGAAGGCGUCAGUAGUCCCACGAUAACGAUGAUGAGUCAAAGAAGACGAUUUUGGCUUUGAAGCGGCAAAUAGCUGAGCUAUCUAGCGAAGCCAAGGCCUCGCAGGAUGGGGAAAGGCAAAAGGAUAUACAGUAUAUGCAAAGGCCCAAUUCGAUGCAUUACUUGCUUCCAGGGGAUUCCCCCUUGUCCCAAUGAUGUAGUAUGCCUCCUUGAUCACCCUAUCUACCUAUUUCAUAUGAAGUAUAUGGUCAAUACAGAGAUGUGAUUGAGGAGCCCAUCAGAGAUGAAGAUUAUGAGGAUUACUAUGUGGACAUACACCGACGCAUUGUUAAAGUUGAAUAUUGUGUUAGAUAAUCUAAACUUUAUACUUUAUGAUGGCUUAUUUGAAUUAUUAAGUGUUUUUGAAUGCAUUAAAAAUUUAAAGUAGUCUGAACAUUACGACUUCCAUAUUUUGUUCGUUCAAUUUCAAGUUAUUUAAAUUUGAUUUUCAA